UACGGAGGGUGCGAGCGUUGUUCGGAAUCACUGGGCGUAAAGCGCGUGUAGGCGGCCCGCUAAGUCUGAUGUGAAAGCCCGAGGCUCACCCUCGGAAGUGCAUUGGAAACUGGCGGACUGGAGUCCCGGAGAGGAGGGUGGAAUUCCUGGUGUAGCGGUGAAAUGCGUAGAUAUCAGGAGGAACACCGGUGGCGAAGGCGGCCCUCUGGACGGUGACUGACGCUGAGACGCGAAAGCGUGGGGAGCAAACAGG
rnacentral:rRNA from 1 species